GCUCAACCGGGGAGGGUCAUUGGAAACUGGGGAACUUGAGUGCAGAAGAGGAGAGUGGAAUUCCACGUGUAGCGGUGAAAUGCGUAGAGAUGUGGAGGAACACCAGUGGCGAAGGCGACUCUCUGGUCUGUAACUGACGCUGAGGCGCGAAAGCGUGGGGAGCGAACAGGAUUAGAUACCCUGGUAGUCCACGCCGUAAACGAUGAGUGCUAAGUGUUAGAGGGUUUCCGCCCUUUAGUGCUGCAGCAAACGCAUUAAGCACUCCGCCUGGGGAGUACGGUCGCAAGACUGAAACUCAAAGGAAUUGACGGGGGCCCGCACAAGCGGUGGAGCAUGUGGUUUAAUUCGAAGCAACGCGAAGAACCUUACCAGGUCUUGACAUCCUCUGACAACCCUAGAGAUAGGAAUUCCCCUUCGGGGGCAGAGUGACAGGUGGUGCAUGGUUGUCGUCAGCUCGUGUCGUGAGAUGUUGGGUUAAGUCCCGCAACGAGCGCAACCCUUGAUCUUAGUUGCUAGCAUUCAGUUGGGCGCUCUAAGGUGACUGCCGGUGACAAACCGGAGGAAGGUGGGGAUGACGUCAAAUCAUCAUGCCCCUUAUGACCUGGGCUACACACGUGCUACAAUGGGCAGAACAAAG
rnacentral:rRNA from 1 species